GGCAACUCAAGCCCUGGGAAUGACCUCAAGCUGGAACCCAGGUGUGGCAGUUGAAGCAAUUAGUGCGACAGAAACACGAGACAGCCUUCCAUACUCUCAGCAAAGAACAACACUGACUGCCAGAUACUUCAACUCCAUUUUGUUUAGAGAAUGACACAGAAGAAAUGUAGAGAAAGAGAUAAAAACUAAACGAAACGAAAACAAGUCUACAAUGAAGAAAGAAAGAAUUCUGGGGGGAAGUAUAAAAAGGAAUGAUGGAUGGAAAGAUGCUUGGUGUUUUUGAUAAACCACGACUGAUGCUUCAGCAUUACAGAAGGGGAAGGACAUGGUACUGUGAAAAAUGCCUUACAUAUCAUGACAGACACAAGUUUGUUUCCAAGGGUGCAUGUCCCCACAAAAAUGUCUAGGAUUUUACAGGUUCAAAUGAGCAUGGUUCAAGACUGGUGAAGUGAGGCAUAAACAAAAGGAUAUUUACCCUAGAGACUGCACUGGCCACUGACAGCAGUAAAAUCUUCCAAGACUUUGCCAGCGGUAACAAACCACUGUGCCCAAGCCUAGACCACUGAAUAUGUUGACAGUGAGCAUGAACAUAAGAGCUUUAUCUUUAUCUGUACUGAUCUAACAACAAAAGCUUUUGAACAACAAAAAA